UUUGCCUCCAAUUAGUUCUCUUUUUUUUCAAUUAAAAGAACCUAGAUCUCAUCUCUCUACGUCAAAAGUAACCUGGAGUCAUCGGAACUGGCGGCACUUGAAGCAUCCAAAGGAUUCGAGAGACGAUAAUGUUCCCUGUUUCAAAUCUUUUUGAGGUGCUCAGUUUUUUCUGUCGACAAGGUGGUUGUGGCGUUUGAUUUAUAGGGUUAGGAUUUUCCAGAAUUGGGCUAACGGGAGAUCCGGGCACUCCAAAUAAGUGAGACAGGCAAGAGUGAGCUACUUCCGUACCAGCUUGAAGAAUUGAAUUUCUUGCGUUUCUCAUGGUCUAAAGUCUAAACAAACACAUGUGAUACUUGCAGACGAAAUGGAUCUUGGGAAACGAUACAAAGUAUUGCUUUUUUGGCAUCGUUAUCUAAAGAGAAUGUCUCCCCUCAUUUAGUAGCACCGCUUUCUACAUUAAGGAAUUGGGAACAUUAAUUUGCUAUAUGGGCUGCUAAUAUGAAUGUUUCGCAUCUUCUCCACACGAAGAAGAAACAACCUUCACUUUCAGACGUUAUUGCGGUAAUUAUAUUCCAGUUUUCUCUUAUUACUUCAUAUUGCAGUUUUAUUCGCUGUUAAAAAGUUGUGUUUUUCAAGCAAACAACAAAGAAAUAGGAUGUUUUGUUUACGGUGCUACAGUUUUGAAGAAUAUAACAACAGCUAUUUGAAGGUGAUGUGUGUUUUAUAUCCGUAUUUUUUAUUUUUAUUUUUUUGCCUAUGAACAAAAAAUAAUCUGAUGUAUCAAGGAUUUGUGAUUUUUAAUGUGGAUUUGUUAUUAUAGUAGAUAUUGCAGUACUGACCAAAAGUACCGGUACCAAAAAUGCCAAAAAGUGGGUACGAAUCAGUACCGAAAAUAAUUCGGUACAGUACUGGUCUCAAGUACCAAAUGCCCAUCCUUACCUUCUAUAUAUUAGUAGGUUAUUUUUUUUUUGUAUUUUAAACGGGUCAAACAUAUUAUGUUUUAAAUGAUUUAACUAAAGAGAAUGGGUUGAACAAAUCUAACUGGCUAGAUGAGUCAAGCUUGAUCAAACGGUUUGAAACUCAGCGGAAGUGUAUGUAAAUACACCAAAACCUAAAACGAGUCCUCGUUAAUGUUUAGAAUACAUUGUAAUAAUAAAGAUUUUGUAUAACCAAAAAUGAUAAAUGAUGUGUUUGUGGUCCGACUACCCAACCCAUUUCAGCUCACACUAAUGAUUACCUGUGUUGACCCAUUGCCACCUCCACUAUAAAGUUUACAUAAUUUAUGUAUGAAUAGAGGCGUUCACACCUUAUUUUCAAAUUGUGAAACCAUCCAAGCCGUUUAUCAUGUCUAGCAACUGCAACAUCGUGUCCAGUAGCAUAUGCAACAAUGGCACAACAACGAGCAAAGGUAGUCAUCCACUUUUUUACAAGGAAUGUGGUUCAAUAUUACGCACCGGCUAGCUGAACAGGUCGAUAGGGUGCGCACCAGCUAGCUGGGGAGUUUGAUUGGCUUUUACCCUAUGUUCAGGAACUGCUUGAUCAUAUCCUGUUCAAGGUAGUCAUCCACUUUUUUACAAGGAAUGUGGUUCAAUAUUACGCACCGGCUAGCUGAACAGGUCGAUAGGGUGCGCACCAGCUAGCUGGGGAGUUUGAUUGGCUUUUACCCUAUGUUCAGGAACUGCUUGAUCAUAUCCUGUUCAAGGUUCAAGUUUUCACCUUUUUUAAAUUUUUAUUGAUUGAUCAACUGAAUUUUAUAUGAGUUUGUUGAUCAACAAAUGUGUGUAUAAAGAAGUAUUUAACGAUUUGUGAGUUUUUUAAAUGUGUGUAUAAAGAAGUAUU
rnacentral:lncRNA from 1 species